rnacentral:piRNA from 1 species
UGGGCAGAUGAUGCAUCAGCCUAUUCUCCC